rnacentral:rRNA from 1 species
AUUGAACGCUGGCGGCAUGCUUUACACAUGCAAGUCGAACGGCAGCGCGGGCUUCGGCCUGGCGGCGAGUGGCGAACGGGUGAGUAAUACAUCGGAACGUGCCCAGUAGUGGGGGAUAGCUCGGCGAAAGCCGGAUUAAUACCGCAUACGACCUGCGGGUGAAAGCGGGGGAUCUUCGGACCUCGCGCUAUUGGAGCGGCCGAUGGCAGAUUAGCUAGUUGGUGGGGUAAAGGCCUACCAAGGCGACGAUCUGUAGCUGGUCUGAGAGGACGACCAGCCACACUGGGACUGAGACACGGCCCAGACUCCUACGGGAGGCAGCAGUGGGGAAUGUUGGACAAUGGGCGAAAGCCUGAUCCAGCAAUGCCGCGUGUGUGAUGAAGGCCUUCGGGUUGUAAAGCACUUUUGGCGGGAACGAAAAGGACUGUGCCAAUACCACGGUUCGAUGACGGUACCCGCAGAAUAAGCACCGGCUAACUACGUG